AUUGAACGCUGGCGGCAUGCUUUACACAUGCAAGUCGAACGGUAACAGGCCUUCGGGUGCUGACGAGUGGCGAACGGGUGCGUAAUGCAUCGGAACGUACCCAGAGGUGGGGGAUGACGCAGCGAAAGCUGUGCUAAUACCGCAUGUGAUCUGAGGAUGAAAGCGGGGGACCGAGCAGCAAUGUUUGGCCUCGCGCCUUUGGAGCGGCCGAUGUCGGAUUAGCUAGUUGGUGGGGUAAAGGCCUACCAAGGCGACGAUCCGUAGCUGGUCUGAGAGGACGACCAGCCACACUGGGACUGAGACACGGCCCAGACUCCUACGGGAGGCAGCAGUGGGGAAUUUUGGACAAUGGGCGCAAGCCUGAUCCAGCAAUGCCGCGUGCGGGAAGAAGGCCUUCGGGUUGUAAACCGCUUUUGGCAGGAACGAAACGGUGUCCGCUAAUACCGGGCGCUAAUGACGGUACCUGCAGAAUAAGCACCGGCUAACUACGUG
rnacentral:rRNA from 1 species